rnacentral:rRNA from 1 species
AGAACGAACGCUGGCGGCAGGCCUAACACAUGCAAGUCGAGCGCCCCGCAAGGGGAGCGGCAGACGGGAGAGUAACACGUGGGAACGUACCCUUCAGUUCGGAACAACCCAGGGAAACUUGGGCUAAUACCGAAUACGUCCGUAAGGAGAAAGAUUUAUCGCUGAAGGAUCGGCCCGCGUCUGAUUAGCUUGUUGGUGAGGUAACGGCUCACCAAGGCGACGAUCAGUAGCUGGUCUGAGAGGAUGAUCAGCCUCACUGGGACUGAGACACGGCCCAGACUCCUACGGGAGGCAGCAGUGGGGAAUAUUGGACAAUGGGCGCAAGCCUGAUCCAGCCAUGCCGCGUGGGUGAUGAAGGCCCUAGGGUUGUAAAGCCCUUUCGGCGGGGAAGAUAAUGACGGUACCCGCAGAAGAAGCCCCGGCUAACUUCGUGCCAGCAGCCGC